rnacentral:misc_RNA from 1 species
GAAGAUUAAUUUGACAUGGUAGCAAAGAUGUUUACAAAUACAAAACAUCCAGAGGAAAUUCUUCGAACAGGCACAAUCUUAGAAAAACAAUAAAAUUAUACACUGGCAAAGAUAACACUAGAAGUAUGGAUAAGAUCCUCAAAGUACAGAUGUCUUGAAUCACACUCUGUGACAUCCAAAGUUUCAAUUGUACAUGACCAAACAUCUAUGCCAGUUCACAGAAAUGCAUCCUUCUCAAGCAGCUUUAGGACAUCCUGCUGGUUGUUGAGUUUGGCAACAUCAAUUGGCGUCUUUCCGUCCAAGUUUUGAAGAGUUACAGCGGCUCCAUUCUCCAGCAGCAGUGCUACACACUCCUUUCUACCAUAUCCAGCAGCAUAGUGAAGAGCAGUAUUCUUGUUCUUGUCCAAUGCAUCAACCUUUGCCCCAGCUUCAACAAGGAGCUGAGCACACUUCUCCUCGCCAUAUCCACAAGCAAAAUGCAAUGCUGUCCUUCCUUCUGAAUCUUCUUCAUCUUUGUCAGCACCAGCAGCUAGUGCUGCCUUCAAGCCCUCUGCAUCACCAACACUAGCACACUGAUGAACAACAGAUUCAUCUUCAUUUGCCUCUUCCGUUUCAUCUGGCCCAGGUAUUUCAGAAGAGGUAGCACCCUCUCCUCCAGCAGCAAAACCCAUUGCUUCACCAAUCUUCUUCAGAACAUCUUGAUCGUUCCAAUACCUCAUCAUUGCAGCUGGUCCUCCGCUCUCUAUCUCUUCCAAGAUUGGUUUGAGUGAUGGGUCUUCUUUAAUGCGCGCCAUCCGUUCUUCAAGUUGCUCCUUCUGAGCAGGGUUUGACAAACUCUCAAGCAUGCCAGACAUGGAUGGAUCCUGCAUCAAUGCAUUACCAAGCCGCUCAGCCAUGGUCAUAAACUGAGGAUUUUGCAUAACCUGUUGCAUUGUAGAGUAGUAUUGUUGGCUAUCAAAGUUGGGAACACUUUCUUCCACUGCUGCACCUUGAAAGGUCUUCUGAAGCUGCUCUGCCAUCUGAUUAAAUGCAGGGUCUUUUGCAAUCUGCUCCGCUAGUUCUUUGAUACUUGGGUCAUUGAGCAGUCCAGACAUGGCUGAGAAAUCAAAGGGAUUUUGGACUCCAGCUCCAGCCGCAGCAGAUGCUGUUCUCCCCUCUCCUGAUGGUGCUUCCACGGUAGAAGACUCAGGAGAUUUUUUACUCUCAGCUGCCCCAGACUUCUCAUCUUUGGAUGCAGUCGGCAAAGCCUUCUCUCCCUCAGACAUGGCUGCAAAGAGAUAGAGAAGUGAAAAAAGAAAAAGGUGAGAUUAUUUGAGUAAAUGGGGAGAUUUGGGGUUAGAGAAAAAUCAAAAGGGUUUUUGUGUGUGACACAG